rnacentral:lncRNA from 1 species
AUGACAAAGGUCAAAAAGUAAAAUCUCUGCCCUCAAGGAAUUGACACAGUGACGGGAAGAGAGGGGACUGACCAGCAGAUCUCACCCGUGGGUAAUGAGCCCAGAGAGAUCAGGGAUCAGGAGAGGUCUGCCACAGCAGCAAGGAGGCUUCCCCGGGGAGGCAGUGACAGUGACUGGCUGAGGCUUGAAGAGGAGCUACCUGCCAAGAAGAUUAGCCCUGAGCUAACAUCUGCCAAUCCUUCUCUUUUUGCUGAGGAAGACUGGCCCUGAGCUGACAUCCAUGCCCAUCUUCCUCUACUUCAUACGUGGGACACCUGCCACAGCAUGGCUUGCCAAGUAGUGCCACGUUCACACCCGCGAUCUGAACCAGUGAACAAUGGGCUGUUGAAGCAGAAUGUGCAAAUCAACCACUGUGCCACCAGGUCAAUUCAAGCCAUCAUCAAGUCGACUCCGACAGCCUGCCGCCCCAUCUCUCUGCCUCUCCCACUGCUGUCCUUACACGGCAGCCAGGGUCUUGAAAGCAUGAAUGACAUCUCUUCCUUGCUCAAAACCCUCCAAAGGCUUUCCAUUGCAAGUGGAAUAAAACUCAGACCUGUUACUACACCCCACGAGGCUCUAUGUGAUCUUGCCUCUCUCCAUUUUCCCCUCGAGCCAGCCUGCCUUCUAUAUGUCAACACGCUAGGCUUAUAGCAACUCAGGGCCUUGCUUAUCUUGAUCCCGUGCCAGGAACCUCUUCCAAUGACAUCUCCCUUCUCAUCAUUGUCUCUUCCUUAGACAGGACUUUCCUAUCCAAGUCUGGCAGAGACUUCUAGUUGUCCUCCAAUAUCUACUCUUCCCUUUUCCCAAAGAAAUGGAACCUCCUAUUUUUAGCUGAGUCCGUAAUCGGCCAGUCUCCCUUAAACUGGUUAUUGCUACUGGCCAAUGCAAUAUAAGAAGAAACAUAACAUGGCAGUUUCCAGAAACCAUUCUUAAAAGAUUAUUGGCACAUACCUUUGCCUUUUAUUCAUUCUGCUGGCUGGCAUGUGACAUGAUGGCUGGAUCUGGAGCAGCCAUCUUAGACCAUGAGGUAAACUUAGAAAUGGAGGCUGUGCACAGCAGAGCAACAGAAUAGAAGGAGCCUGAAUCACUGAGGAUUUCAUGGAGUGCAAUGACCACAACAGACCUGGGUUACUCGCUUCUGGCCUUCUACUUGAGAGAGAAAUAAACUUUUAUCUUGUUUAAACCACUGUUAUUUUGGAUCCUGUUAUCAACUUAAUUCUAAUUGAUAGACUAACCUGGCUAAGGCAGCCUUCUUUUAUAUUUAUCUGUAUUUUUUUCUUCAAAGUACUUAGCACCUGAAAUUACCCUACAUAUUUACUUAUACUUUUAUUUCUUUUUUUAUUGUCUGUCUUCUCCCUUCUGAAAGGUAAACUCCUUGAGGCCAGGGAUCAUCUGACAUUCACUGCUAUAUCCCUUCCCCCUGGAAUACUGCCAUAAUAGGCGCUUCAUAAAUAUUUGUGGGAUGAAUGGAAGGAGUGUUCCUUGAAACUCAUCUUAGGAGACCCUGCUUUGGUAGACAAGGACAUUACCCUCAGCUCUACGUACUUCAAAAGGGAAUAUGUUAUCUGCUGAAAAGAAUUCCAAAGAAGACAGACGACGUGCUUUUCAACAUCCCUAGCCUUCAACAGAUACACAGGAAUUACCCAUAUAUCUGAUAUCAGGCAACAAUAACAACUUGGACACACGAUUAAUAAAAUCCAUUUAUUGGCCUCUUUUUGAUGUUAGACAGCCUAUGGGGCAAAGAGAGAGAAAUUUAAACUUGUGUCUCUUUGCUCAACUUAUCGUGUCAAUUCCAGUCACUAAGCGAGUCUCUUACAGGGAUGUCAAACAGGUUUUUUCUCUCAUGACAACUGCGAUCAAUGGUUAGUGGCUGCCUGGAGCUCUGUGUUGAAGAUGAUUAUAAGACCUUCAACGGGUUUGGAGGGGAAAUAUGCUGUGAUUGAUUCUUAAUGUCUGUUGUGAGUGCAGUGCUGGGAUUGAUUGUUGAGGUCUGUUGUGGGUGCAGAAUAGCAGAAGGCAUAAAAUGCUUGUUGUGUGUUUCCUCAGCAAAAACCAGUCUUCUUACAAACUAACCAUGUUGUUUUGGUUGGCAAAUUAAGACUUAAUACACUUAAGUGCCAAAAUGAGUGGUUAAGACGAGUCUAUAGAGUCAGAAAAAAGGGCUUCCUUCAGGUCUUAAGGUCAAGAUAAAUUGCAUGCAAGAACUGAGUUGGAGCUUGGAGGGUGGGAAGGUGGGGUCUUUUGAGGAGACCCCAGAAGAAAUUCUCAGGAGAGACUGCUAAUGAGCUGCCAAUGCCCCAGGGAUCGCUUGUAUCUCUAGCGCUGCCCAGAUACAGUGUCAGCAUCCCUUAGACACUGCUCAGUAAAGGAUACAUUCUUACCCUUUAUCUAGCACAUCCCUGUCCAAUAAAAAUAUAAUUUGGGCCCCAUAUAUAAGUAUUGUACAUAUAAUGUAUAUUAUAUAUAUAAUUAUUUGAGCCACAUACUUUCUAGCAGCCUCAUUUAAAAAAGUAAAGAGAAAC